rnacentral:rRNA from 1 species
CACUCCUGCGGGAGGCAGCAGUGGGGAAUAUUGGACAAUGGGCGCAAGCCUGAUCCAGCCAUGCCGCGUGAGUGAUGAAGGCCCUAGGGUUGUAAAGCUCUUUCACCGGUGAAGAUAAUGACGGUAACCGGAGAAGAAGCCCCGGCUAACUUCGUGCCAGCAGCCGCGGUAAUACGAAGGGGGCUAGCGUUGUUCGGAUUUACUGGGCGUAAAGCGCACGUAGGCGGACUAUUAAGUCAGGGGUGAAAUCCCGGGGCUCAACCCCGGAACUGCCUUUGAUACUGGUAGUCUUGAGUUCGAGAGAGGUGAGUGGAAUUCCGAGUGUAGAGGUGAAAUUCGUAGAUAUUCGGAGGAACACCAGUGGCGAAGGCGGCUCACUGGCUCGAUACUGACGCUGAGGUGCGAAAGCGUGGGGAGCAAACAGGAUUAGAUACCCGAGUAGUCCCAUG